rnacentral:rRNA from 1 species
UCAAGCUAAGAAGAGCACAAGGGGAAUGCCUUGGCAUCAGGAGCCGACGAAGGACGCGAUAAGCUGCGAUAAGCCGUGAUAAGGCGCAAAUAGCCGUUAUGAGUCACGGAUUUCCGAAUGGGGAAACCUCGCAGGGCGCAAUCCCUGCGACCGUAUCGUGAAUCCAUAGCGAUACGGAGGGAACCCGCCGAACUGAAACAUCGAAGUAGGCGGAGGAAAAGAAAUCAACCGAGAUUUCGCGAGUAGUGGCGAGCGAAAGCGGAAGAGGCCAAACCGGAGGUAGUAAUAUCUCCGGGGUUCGGACCGCAACGUAGGACGGAAGUCAUAGAAGAAUGCGAUGGGAAGCGCAACCGAAGAAGGUGAGAGUCCUGUAAUCGAAAUGACGACCGAACUUAGCGGUAUCCAGAGUACGUGCGGACACGUGGAAUCCGCACGGAAUACGGGGGGCCCACCCUCCAAGCCUAAAUACUACCUGAUGACCGAUAGUGGAGCAGUACUGUGAAGGAAAGGUGAAAAGAACCCCGGGAGGGGAGUGAAAAAGAACCUGAAACCCUGUGUUUACAAGCAGUGAAAGUGCGAGCAAGGCACGAUCACGUACUUUUUGUAGAACGGACCGGCGAGUUACGUUAUGCAGCAAGGUUAAGAACUGAAGGUUCGGAGCCGAAGCGAAAGCGAGUCUGAAUAGGGCGAUAGUUGUAUGACGUAGACCCGAAACCGGGUGACCUAUCCAUGAGCAGGUUGAAGUGGAGGUAAAGCUCCAUGGAGGACCGAACCAGACGUCUGUUGAAAAAGGCGGGGAUGACUUGUGGAUAGGGGAGAAAUUCCAAUCGAACCCGGAGAUAGCUGGUUCUCCUCGAAAUAGCUUUAGGGCUAGCCUCAUGGAUCAUUGGUGGGGGUAGAGCACUGAAUGUGCGCGGGGGCCACAAAGCCUACCAAACGCUAUCAAACUUCGAAUACCAUACAAUGCAGACCAUGGGAGUCAGUCCGCGAGAGAUAAGUUCCGCGGGCAAAAGGGGAACACCCCAGAUCAACCGCUAAGGUCCCCAAGUUCACGUUAAGUGGAGAAGGAUGUGGAAUUGCACAGACAACCAGGAUGUUGGCUCAGAAGCAGCCACACAUUUAAAGAGUGCGUAAUAGCUCACUGGUCGAGUGAUUGUGCGCCGAAGAUGUCCGGGGCUAAACGUGACACCGAAGCGAUGGGUGCAUCUGAAAGGAUGCGCGGUAGAGGAGCAAUGUGCAGAGGCAGAAGCCGUAUCGAGAGGCACGGUGGACACUGCACAAGAGAGAAUGCCGGUAUGAGUAGCGAGAGGCAUGCGAGAAACAUGCCCGUCGAAAGCCCAAGGUUUCCUGGGGAAGGUUCAUCCGCCCAGGGUAAGUCGGGGCCUAAGCCGAGGACGGAAGUCGUAGGCGAUGGACAGCAGGUGUAGAUUCCUGCACUACCGAUGGAAUGAAGCAGUGACACAGAAGGAUAACUCGAGCAGGGUGAUGGUCAACCCUGUGCAAGCAUCAAGGUUGGGUUGUAGUGAAGUACGCAAUCCUAUAAGCUGAGGUGUGAUGCGGACCGAAAUUUCAGUAGGGAAGCGAGUGAGUUCACGCUGGCGAGAAAAGCUGCUAGUACAUCCAAAGGUACCCGUACCGGAAACCGACGCAGGUGGGCGAGGAGAGAAUCCUGAGACGAACGGGAGAACCCUUGUUAAGGAACUCGGCAAAAUGACCCCGUAACUUCGGGAGAAGGGGUGCCGAUGGAAACAUCGGUCGCAGAGAAAAGGCUCAAGCGACUGUUUAGCAAAAACACAGGUAUCUGCGAAAGCGAGAGCUGACGUAUAGGUGCUGACACCUGCCCGGUGCUGGAAGGUUAAGGGGAAAUGUCAUCGCAAGAGAAGCAUAGAACCGAAGCCCCAGUAAACGGCGGCCGUAACUAUAACGGUCCUAAGGUAGCGAAAUUCCUUGUCGGGUAAGUUCCGACCCGCACGAAUGGUGUAACGAUUUGAGCGCUGUCUCAACAGGGGGCCCGGUGAAAUUGAAGUAUGGGUGAAGAUGCCCAUUACCCGCGACUGGACGGAAAGACCCCGUAGAGCUUUACUGUAGCCUGAUAUUGGAUUUUGGUAAUGGAUGUACAGGAUAGGUGGGAGGCAGAGAAAUCAGGGCGUCAGCCUUGGUGGAGCCGCUGUUGGGAUACCACUCUUUCAUUAUUGGAAUUCUAACCCGCGGCCGUGAAGCCGGAGCGGAGACAGUGUCAGGUGGGCAGUUUGACUGGGGCGGUCGCCUCCGAAAGAGUAACGGAGGCGCCCAAAGGUACCCUCAGAAUGGAUGGAAACCAUUCGAAGAGCGCAAAGGCAGAAGGGUGCCUGACUGCGAGAUUGACAAAUCGAGCAGAGACGAAAGUCGGGCUUAGUGAUCCGGCGGUAUUGAGUGGAAAAGCCGUCGCUUAACGGAUAAAAGCUACCUCGGGGAUAACAGGCUGAUCUCCCCCAAGAGUCCACAUCGACGGGGAGGUUUGGCACCUCGAUGUCGGCUCAUCGCAUCCUGGGGCUGAAUUCGGUCCCAAGGGUUUGGCUGUUCGCCAAUUAAAGCGGCACGCGAGCUGGGUUCAGAACGUCGUGAGACAGUUCGGUCCCUAUCCAUCGUGGGCGUAGGAGUCAUGAGAGGAGCUGUUCCUAGUACGAGAGGACCGGAAUGGACGCACCACUGGUGCAACUGUUGUCGUGCCAACGGCAUAGCAGGGAAGCGAAGUGCGGAUGGGAUAAACGCUGAAGGCAUCUAAGCGUGAAGCCCACCUCGAGAAUAAGAUUCCAGGCAGCAAUGCGAGAGACCCCUGGAAGACUACCAGGUGAUAGGUCGUCGGUGGAAGCGCAGUAAUGUGUGUAGCUUGACGAUACUAAUCGGUCGAUAGCUUGAUUU